rnacentral:lncRNA from 1 species
AUCGGAGAAAAAUUUUUAAUAUGUGUGACUCCAUAGGUUCGAACCUAAUCCAAUAGCAUUGGAAUAGAUUCCUGUACCAAUCCGAGUAACCAUCUAGUAAUGGUACUCGAUAUUCGAAUUGGCUGAAUGUAUGCAAAGCAACACUCAAGAACCUAUUUGGAUAUAGUUACUAUAUAAUUCAUCCCUUUGAUCCUUGAUACUAGGA